rnacentral:rRNA from 1 species
CACCAGCGCCACGAGUGGCAACCGCGAUUAUUGGGCCUAAAGCGUCCGUAGCCGGCAGAGUGCAUCUUCUGUGAAAUCGCUGCGCUCAACGUAGCGGCAUGCGGAAGACACGACUCUGCUUGAGACCGGAAGGCGUGAAGAGUAUUCCUGGGGGACCGGUAAAAUGGUAUAAUCCCAGGAGGACUACCUGUGGCGAAGGCGCUUCACGAGUACGGAUCUGACGAUGAGGGACGAAAGCCAGGGGAGCAAACCGG